AAAAUUUUAAGUUAGAUUAAACUGAUAAUUUUCAAAAUUAUAAUCAAACUUAAUUUAGUUUAAAUUUUA
rnacentral:tRNA from 2 species